rnacentral:rRNA from 1 species
GAGUCGUCCUGCGCGGAAGAUGUAACGGGGCUAAGCCAGUUACCGAAGCUGCGGAUGCACAGUUUACUGUGCGUGGUAGGAGAGCGUUCUGUACGCCUGUGAAGGUGGGUCGUGAGGCCUGCUGGAGGUAUCAGAAGUGCGAAUGCUGACAUGAGUAGCGUUAAAGGGGGUCAAAAGCCCCCUCGCCGUAAGCGCAAGGUUUCCUACGCAACGUUCAUCGGCGUAGGGUGAGUCGGCCCCUAAGGCGAGGCAGAGAUGCGUAGCUGAUGGGAAGCAGGUUAAUAUUCCUGCACCGUCGUAUGAUGCGAUGGGGGGACGGAUCGCGGAAGGUUGUCCAGCUGUUGGAAUAGCUGGUUUCUGGUUCAUAGAAGGCGCUUAGGCAAAUCCGGGCGCAGGAUUCAAGGGACUGGGACGUGUACCCAUGUGGUACGAAGCAAUCGGAAGUGGUUCCAAGAAAAGCCUCUAAGCUUCAGUCAUACGAGACCGUACCGCAAACCGACACAGGUGGGCGAGAUGAGUAUUCUAAGGCGCUUGAGAGAACUCGGGAGAAGGAACUCGGCAAAUUGGUACCGUAACUUCGGGAUAAGGUACGCCUCGGUAGCUUGAAUGGUUUACUCCAUGAGGGCGAAAAGGUUGCAAUAAAAUGGUGGCUGCGACUGUUUAAUAAAAACACAGCACUCUGCAAACACGAAAGUGGACGU